CAUUCCUCUAUUUGGCUUGUGAAGUCAUGAUGAAACCCUUCCUUGUCUCUCCCUCUCCCGAUAUGCGCCGCCGGCUCCCUUCCCUCGAUCUACGCUCGGCUCUUCCACUGCGGCACAACAAGGGAAGAAGAUGGGAUUGGCGGGCGAGCGGCUGCGGGGUGCGAGUGGGCGAGGGCCUGUGGCGCGGCGAAGAGGGGAUACUCCGGUGGGCUACCAGCAGCGACAGAGGCUUAGCACCUGCUUCUUCUCCUGAAGGGUCGUCGCCAACUCACUGCUGCUCAUAGAGGUGAGUCAAAUGUUGUAACAAUCUCUGUCAUUAUUUUGCUGCUCAGGUAGGAGUUCGAGAAAUCAUGAAUUACCUGACAGAUAAUGCAACCAAAACACAGGAAGAGAAACAUAUAUGGUGAUGAUGUCUAUCAUGCUUUUGCAGGUAGUAGUAUGCAUCCACACAAUUCAAAUUCAUGUUCUGGAAGGACAUUGACCAACUAACCAUGUAUUAAUUGUAUAGUUAAAUUUGUUGUUUUACUUUUAUCUGAACUGAGUUCUAACAAUCAAUAUUUGAUUCUGCUACACACUUUCAAGGACAGUUACAACAAUUCUGGAGCAUGUAUCGUCCUCAAUCCUCUGAUUUUGCUACCGUCAUUUCCAUAGUAUUCAAGAUGUAAAACCUCGACCUGUGGCUACUAUGAUUUGCAGGAAGUAAUUGUUUCCGAUGAAGAGUUAGAUCUAGGCGCCAUGGAUGACAACAAUUCAGUCUUUUAACUAAAUAUUUUGUCAUGUCCGCAAUCGGUUGGUUCAUUUAGCCUGAUAUGUAUCCACAUAACCAUCAGAUAAAAUAUUUCAUCAAGUAAUUAGUGGAAAUAUUGGAUAUAGAGAAUCAGCAUCACUGUUUGGAGGAGCUUCAUUUCUCAAACUUUCUGGAGCAGAUCAUCUUGGUCAUUUUCGAAGGAUGGGUGCUGGACUUGGCACAUUUCCCUGAGAGGAUUGCUUCAGUAAUAAAUGCUGGUUUUUUAUGGAAUUAUUUAUUUGUAUUAUGCACUGCAACCAAUUUUGAUUUUGUUCUCUGGUAAUCUACAGAACAUGAAUUCUAAUUGUGUCCAACCAUAAGG